rnacentral:rRNA from 1 species
UGGGGAACCUGCCCCAUAGUCUGGGAUACCACUUGGAAACAGGUGCUAAUACCGGAUAAGAAAGCGGAUCGCAUGAUCAGCUUUUAAAAGGCGGCGUAAGCUGUCGCCAUGGGAUGGCCCCGCGGUGCAUUAGCUAGUUGGUAAGGUAAAGGCUUACCAAGGCGAUGAUGCAUAGCCGAGUUGAGAGACUGAUCGGCCACAUUGGGACUGAGACACGGCCCAAACUCCUACGGGAGGCAGCAGCU